UCCCUGGUGGCUCAGAGGUUAAAGCAUCUGCCUGCAAUGCAGGAGACCCACGUUCAAUCCCUGGAUAGGGAA